rnacentral:rRNA from 1 species
UGAGGAAUAUUGGUCAAUGGGCGUAAGCCUGAACCAGCCAAGUCGCGUGAGGGAAGACGGUCCUACGGAUUGUAAACCUCUUUUGCCGGGGAGCAACGGGGUCCUUGCGAGGGCCUUAUGAGAGUACCCGGAGAAAAAGCAUCGGCUAACUCCGUGCCAGCAGCCGCGGUAAUACGGAGGAUGCGAGCGUUAUCCGGAUUUAUUGGGUUUAAAGGGUGCGUAGGCGGGCAUUUAAGCCGGCGGUCAAAUGUCGGGGCUCAACCCCGGCCUGCCGUCGGAACCGGGUGCCUUGAGUGGGCGAGAAGUAUGCGGAAUGCGUGGUGUAGCGGUGAAAUGCUUAGAUAUCACGAAGAACUCCGAUUGCGAAGGCAGCUUACUGGACUGUAACUGACGCUGAUGCUCGAAAGUGUGGGUAUCAAACAGG